rnacentral:rRNA from 1 species
CAGCAGCCACGGUAAUACGUAGGUGGCAAGCGUUGUCCGGAGUUAUUGGGCGUAAAGGGCUCGCAGGCGGUUUCUUAAGUCUGAUGUGAAAGCCCCCGGCUCAACCGGGGAGGGUCAUUGGAAACUGGGAAACUUGAGUGCAGAAGAGGAGAGUGGAAUUCCACGUGUAGCGGUGAAAUGCGUAGAGAUGUGGAGGAACACCAGUGGCGAAGGCGACUCUCUGGUCUGUAACUGACGCUGAGGAGCGAAAGCGUGGGGAGCGAACAGGAUUAGAUACCCGAGUAGUCCCUGUCUCUUAUAC